rnacentral:rRNA from 1 species
UCCAACUUGAGAGUUUGAUCCUGGCUCAGAGCGAGCGCUGGCGGCAGGCUUAACACAUGCAAGUCGAGCGGGCGUAGCAAUACGUCAGCGGCAGACGGGUGAGUAACGCGUGGGAACGUACCUUUUGGUUCGGAACAACCCAGGGAAACUUGGGCUAAUACCGGAUAAGCCCUUACGGGGAAAGAUUUA